CGAGCGGCAGAGGGGUGAAUAAUGUCUGGGAAACUGCCUGAUGGAGGGGGAUAACUACUGGAAACGGUCUCUAAUACCGCAAAAUGUCACAAGACCAAAGAGGGGGACCUUCGGGCCUCUCCCCCUCAUAUGUGCCCAUAUGGGAUUAUCUUGUAUGUGGGGUAACGGCUCACCUACGCCAAUAUCCCUAGCUGGUCAGAGAAGAAGACCCCCCACACUGGCACUGACACACGGUCCACACUCCUACGGGGGGCAACUGUGGGGAAUAUUGCACAGUGGGCGCACCCCUGAUGCACCCGUGCCGCGUGUAUAAAAAACGCCUUCGGGUUGUAAAAUAUUUUCCGCGGGGAAGAGGGUGUUGAGGUUAAUAACCUCCGCUAUUGACUUUCCCCGCAAAAAAAGCCCCGGCAAACUCCGUGCCCGCCCCCGCGGUAAUACAGAGGGUGCACGCGUUUAUCAGAAUUACUGGGCGUAAAGCGCACGCGCGCUGUCUGUCAUGUCAGAUGUGAUAUCCCCGGGCUCCACCUGGGAACUGCACUCAAAACUGGCGCGCUAGACUCUUGUAGAGGGGGGUAAAAUUCCGUGUGUAGCUGUGAUAUGCAUAGAUAUCUAGAAGAAUACCUGUGGAGAACGCGCCCCCUCUGGACAAACACAGACUCUCAUGUGCAAACGCGUGGGAGAACACACGAGAUUAUAUACCCUGGUUCUACACGCCAUACACUAUCUCCAUGUGGAUGUUGUGCCCGUGACGCGUGUCCUCCAGAUCUAACGCUUUAUCUCCACCGCCGGGAGUGUACCGCCGCGGUGUUAACACUCAUAUGAUUCACGGGGCGCGCGCACGAGCUGUAGAGCAUGUUGUUUUUUUCUAUGCACGCAGAGACCUUCACCUACUCUUGAUCUCCAGA
rnacentral:rRNA from 1 species